rnacentral:rRNA from 1 species
CUGGCUCAGGACGAACGCUGGCGGCGUGCCUAAUACAUGCAAGUCGAGCGGACAGAUGGGAGCUUGCUCCCUGAUGUUAGCGGCGGACGGGUGAGUAACACGUGGGUAACCUGCCUGUAAGACUGGGAUAACUCCGGGAAACCGGGGCUAAUACCGGAUGGUU